AUACGGAGGAUCCGAGCGUUAUCCGGAUUUAUUGGGUUUAAAGGGUGCGCAGGCGGCCAUUUAAGUCAGCGGUUAAAUCGUGGGGCUCAACCCCAUUCUGCCGUUGAUACUGGGUGGCUUGAUUGCGGUCGAGGUUGGCGGAAUUCGUUGUGUAGCGGUGAAAUGCAUAGAUAUGACGAAGAACACCGAUUGCGUAGGCAGCUGACCAGACCGCAAAUGACGCUCAUGCACGAAAGUGCGGGGAUCGAACAGGAUUAGAUACCCUGGUAGUCCGCACAGUAAACGAUGAAUACUUGUUGUCGGCGAUAUAAUGUCGGAGGCAAAGCGAAAGCGAUAAGUAUUCCACCUGGGGAGUACGCCGGCAACGGUGAAACUCAAAUGAAUUGACGGGG
rnacentral:rRNA from 1 species